AUUGAACGCUGGCGGCAGGCCUAACACAUGCAAGUCGAGCGAGCGGCGGACGGGUGAGUAAUGUCUGGGAAACUGCCUGAUGGAGGGGGAUAACUACUGGAAACGGUAGCUAAUACCGCAUACCAUCAUAUGUGCCCAGAUGGGAUUAGCUAGUAGGUGGGGUAACGGCUCACCUAGGCGACGAUCCCUAGCUGGUCUGAGAGGAUGACCAGCCACACUGGAACUGCGAAACGGUCCAGACUCCGACGGGAGGCAGCAUUGGGGAAUAUUGCACAAGGGGCGCAAGCCUGAUGCAGCCAUGCCUCGUGUAUGAAUAAGGCCUUCGGGUUGUAAAGUACUUUCAGCGGGGAGGAGUUGCCCGCAGAAGAAGCACCUGCUAACUCCGUGCCAGCAGCCGAGGUAAUUC
rnacentral:rRNA from 1 species